AAUGCUUAGGGGAGGGUGAGGUGAAAUGGACUCUCUUAAAUCAUCGACAGCGUGUGACCAAAUUAAAUCAUUCGGACAAGUCAAUUUUCAUUUCAAAGUCGAUAUAUAAAUAUCCCCGACUUAAAAAUAUUUCUUCCUUACAUUUCCCUGAGUUUUAUUAAAUUUUUUUAUGUUAAAAAAAAUGCACGUCCAUGUAAAGAUGAGUUCAACCGAAAUUGUCCACUAAUCAGUUGAAUUUACCUAUGAAAUGAUUAAUUAGUGCCUGUUAGGCAGAUGAAAGGCUUCAUAAAAUCACAAUUCAUCCGUCAAUCUAGCCCUCGUCCUUAUUCCUCAUGACUACAAACUAGAAAAAAAAAUAGAAAACGAGAAAAAAAUUAAUCAUAAAAAAACCACAAAAAAGUAAAAAAAAAUGCCAAAAAAUAUUUUUUAUUUUUCAUACCCACUCGUAGUUGUAAAUUAUGAAAUCGUUUAAUACCCAAUAUGUACAUUAACGGUAUUCAAAUAUAUAUUUUUGACGCUUCUGAGUAUAACAUUUUAGACGCAUGGACGUCGUAAAUUGUUUAUUGCGCUUCGUUACAAUGUUCACCAUAGAAUGGAACGAUAAAUUAAAAUAUCAUCACUUGUUGUGAGUGAAACGAUAAUUAUUUUGCGGUGUACCAGGCCUAUUCGAUAACUAGGCUAACGUCUGGUUCAUUUCGCCUCAUGAAGAUGAUAGUCUAUUCUACUGUCUAUAUUUAUCAUUUGAAUUGCUGAUUCAAUGAAAAUCACAACUACUUUUAUGUGACGAAACGAAAUAACAUGACGUAAUACUGUGAUGGGUUGGAGAUAAUGUGUAAGAGUGAUGAAUCUUCCAUCCCAAAUUCACAAAUAAUGAGGAUAAUCACAUGGAGUUUUAUUCUUUAAUUGAGAAUUGAACGAUCGUCAUUAAAAAAUAUAUCCAGAACUUGACUCUUACGUAAUUGUUUUUCCCUCAAAUUAAAAUGAUUGGAACUGUCUCUUACAAGUAAUUUGACAUCUGCCGUCACUUAAUUCUUUUAUUGAUAAAUACAGAAACUUUUCAAAGAUAAAGUUAAUACAGAUUUCAAUUCUCGAUUAAAGAAAAUUUCUCUCCACGUAAUAAAAAAAUUUGGGAAUGCUACGAGGGUUCAACCCCAGCAAAUCAAUAUAUUCAAUGUUGAGACUGGAUUGCGAAUGUACAAACUCCAUUAAUUACUAUAUUUUAAUAAUAUUUAAAGCCCCCGAGAAGGGGUACCACCUUAAAAUGUUAAAAAAAAACUGUAUUGAAGUACUGGGAGAUGCUAAAAGGGCCAAAAUCACAGCUCGUGGAAAAAAGAAAAUAAAACAAUGACACAUUGUCGUUGGAUCACUUUCAUCAUCAGUUAUGCAUCGACAAUAACUCAAGUCAUUAAACUGAAUAGAAAAUAAUCUGUCACAUCGUCAGAAAUUUUUCCACGACGUUUUCUCAUUCCUCCCGAACGAAUCGAAUAUUGUGAUAUGUUUGUACAUCUAUGCAUACGAUUGUUUUUCUAAUUUAAUCAUUUAAAUGGUCAUCAUCUCACUACGACUGGCAUUAAGUAAUAAGAGCAUCUGACGGCGCUGGUACCAAUGUCAUAUCUGUGUCACGAUACACACUGAUUGAAUUUUUUUUUUACAAAAUCCAGUGAAUAAAUAAUUGAAUAAAAAAUUGCGAUAAUUGCGACUGCUGUUGCUGAGUGAAACGAAGGAAUUUAACAGUCAAGACAUUCUAAAAUAGCUGAGUGCUGUGUAGAUACAAAAUUGUUCAAGACUUGUGGCACAUGUUGAUACAGGAUUAUGACAUCUACGACUCGUUAUGCAGAUACUCUUAAGUACGAUAAAAUAAAACAUCGUUGUUUAAUAUAAUGAGCCGGAGUCAGGGAAUAAACCCAUUUCGGGGCAAAUAAACCUGCAUAAAUUGAGGAUAUUGGAUUUUUAAAGGAGAGAGUGGGGAAUUAUAUUGUGACAGAAACAGUGAAACUACGUAAAGAGUAAAAUGUAAUGUCGAUUUUAUUUCAACUCACUGUCUCAACGGGGAUGACUUUAAUUAAGAAACGACACUUAUGUGAUAAGAGAUUUGCGAAAAAUCGCACAGCGUGAAUAACUCAGUAAAUAUUACCAGAAAAAAUUGGAGAGACUAGAGGUUUAUCAAAAUCAAAAUGAUUUACUACAAAUUAAAGUUAAAAAAUCGAAACGUUUGUUAGUGUCACAGCCCCAGUGGUAAAAAAUGUUCGAAUAAUGCGAGAACAUUCUCAACUGCCUUGAGAUAAAUCGAAAUGUCGAAUUUUCUAGUGAUUGGUGCCAGUAGCCAGAGCAACUGUAUUAUCAUUUCGAUCCACGACAUUAUCACAAUGAGAAACUCUAGAACUACAAUAAAAAAAGAUGAUAAAGAGAAUAAAAUGAUUUUGUAUACUUGAUAAUGCACUUAGUCCUUCGGUCGGGGGAAUUUUUUUUUCAGGUCGUUGUAUUGAUCAAAUAAGGCUCCGAGAGGGCUCUUGUACUUCGAGUAAAUUCUCCAGCCGCUGCAGGUAUUAAUAAGGAGGUUCGGGACUAUGAGUACAGCAGUUAAGCCGGUGACACAAACCGCUAUCGAUCCCCGGGUCAGUACGAAUUGUGCGGGAUUGUGAGGAAUGUCGACGGAUCCUUCUGAGUCUCGUGGGAGCGAGAACACACCCUCACUGAGUAAGAGACCCGCGGAAAAACCACCCUUUAAAUUGUGCUUUCCGAAGCCCCAGAUGCCCGGGCGAUCCGAGGUUCUGGUGUCUAAGGUCGAUGGUGUUCUUAAAUUUGUAGCCAAUUUUGUUACUCCAAAAUUCUGGAACAAGGAGGCACUGCCGGAAGUUGAGGACGAGGUGGAGGAUCGAGUGGCCGCGGCCGUGAAGGAGCGGAUGGCACGGGAGAGACGGGGACCACGAGAUGUCUAUCGAUUUCCGGUGUUGAGUAGUCAGAGGUGAGAUGGUGAAUCGUGAAGAUCAAUCUUCUCCAACAAUAACAGGAACCGGACGUAACCGCUAUGGCUGGUGGUACGACGAAACGUUCGGGUCCACCGAUCCUCGAUUGAAUUAUCAUAAACAAACGUCGGAUAUGGUGGAGACGAAUCUAAUGAUCCAGUAUGAAGACAAGAAAUUGCGGGGACUGUGUCACUGAU